GAAUCCUUGAUGAUGCAGGUAGCACUGUUCCUGAUGACACACUGUACGUGUUCACAUGCUCUAACUUUUACAUCCCACAGCAUUUGUCUUCCUCGUACACUUCAACUAGGUACAGUAGGGUCCAAAGGUGUUUUGUCCAGAGAGGGAAAAACUGCAGUAGUUCUCCUACCAUUUUGUAACCCAGGUACCUUAGGACAAGACUCACUAUCAUAUAGAUUAUAGAUUCAUAUCUCUUACCAUCACUAUUUGUAAGUUGUUAGAAAAUAUAAAUCAAUAAAUGCAUCAUUGGUAUUUAAGAGACCCAAAAAUCUUCAUUAAUUUGGUUUUGGAAAGGUUCACUUUACCAUCGACGGUCUACUCUUUACUUGAUAAAUGUACACGAAAUGCCUUCAAGGACAGCCAUUUGAUUAUUGCUGUCUUUUUUUCAUGUAGAAAAAGCUUAUGACACAUGUUUCUACAUUUUAUCCCAUACACAUUUCAGCUUUCAAGUAAGUAAUAAGUCGGUUGCCUGAUUUUGUCCACGUUGAAGAUGUAGUGCAAGGUUAUGUCCCUAAUACAACACUAAUCUUGUACCUUUUUCUUUGUUGAUUAUCUCACAAGUAUCUGGUGAUUCAUAUAUUUAAACCCUCGGAUAAUGUACAGAUUAUGUUCCUGAAAAAGUGUUAAAAUACACGAACUGAAGAAUACAGGAAGGCCCCAUUAUGCAGCAGGUUAGGUUCUGGGCUACUGUAGGGCCCCACUGUACAGCAGGUUAGGUUCUGGGCUACUGUAGGGCCCCACUGUACAGCAGGUUAGGUUCUGGGCUACUGUAGGGCCCCACUGUACAGCAGGUUAGGUUCUAGGCUACUGUAGGGCCCCACUGUACAGCAGGUUAGGUUCUGGGCUACUGUAGGGCCCCACUGUACAGCAGGUUAGGUUCUGGGCUACUGUAGGGCCCCACUGUACAGCAGGUUAGGUUCUAGGCUACUAUAGGGCCCCACUGUACAGCAGGUUAGGUUCUGGGCUACUGUAGGGCCCCACUGUACAGGGCAGGUUAGGUUCUAGG